GACGAACGCUGGCGGCGUGCUUAACACAUGCAAGUCGAACGGAAAGGCCCUGCUUUUGUGGGGUGCUCGAGUGGCGAACAGGUGAGUAACACGUGAGUAACCUGCCCUUGACUUUGGGAUAACUUCAGGAAACUGGGGCUAAUACCGGAUAGGAGCUCCUGCUGCAUGGUGGGGGUUGGAAAGUUUCGGCGGUUGGGGAUGGACUCGCGGCUUAUCAGCUUGUUGGUGGGGUAGUGGCUUACCAAGGCUUUGACGGGUAGCCGGCCUGAGAGGGGGACCGGCCACAUUGGGGCUGAGAUACGGCCCAGACUCCUACGGGAGGCAGCAGUGGGGAAUAUUGCACAAUGGGCGGAAGCCUGAUGCAGCAACGCCGCGUGCGGGAUGACGGCCUUCGGGUUGUAAACCGCUUUCGCCUGUGACGAAGCGUGAGUGACGGUAAUGGGUAAAGAAGCACCGGCUAACUACGUGCCAGCCGCCGCGUAA
rnacentral:rRNA from 1 species